rnacentral:rRNA from 1 species
UACGGAGGGAGCUAGCGUUGUUCGGAAUUACUGGGCGUAAAGCGCGCGUAGGCGGCUUUGUAAGUUAGAGGUGAAAGCCCGGAGCUCAACUCCGGAACUGCCUUUAAAACUGCAUCGCUUGAAUCUAGGAGAGGUGAGUGGAAUUCCGAGUGUAGAGGUGAAAUUCGUAGAUAUUCGGAAGAACACCAGUGGCGAAGGCGGCUCACUGGACUGGUAUUGACGCUGAGGUGCGAAAGCGUGGGGAGCAAACAGG